GCUAUGGGGAAACAGAGGUUAACAAGACAUUUCUCUUGCUCUGGAGCAAUCAUCAACAGACAUACACUUCAAGGUGGUCUAAAGUCUCUUCUGUCCUCUGGAAAGAACUGGCAACUCCUCAAGCAAACACUGGUGCUCUUUCCUGUCACCAGGCUUCGUGGAUAA
rnacentral:lncRNA from 1 species